GAUGAACGCUGGCGGCGUGCCUAAUACAUGCAAGUCGAGCGAACGGACGAGAAGCUUGCUUCUCUGAUGUUAGCGGCGGACGGGUGAGUAACACGUGGAUAACCUACCUAUAAGACUGGGAUAACUUCGGGAAACCGGAGCUAAUACCGGAUAAUAUUUUGAACCGCAUGGUUCAAAAGUGAAAGACGGUCUUGCUGUCACUUAUAGAUGGAUCCGCGCUGCAUUAGCUAGUUGGUAAGGUAACGGCUUACCAAGGCAACGAUGCAUAGCCGACCUGAGAGGGUGAUCGGCCACACUGGAACUGAGACACGGUCCAGACUCCUACGGGAGGCAGCAGUAGGGAAUCUUCCGCAAUGGGCGAAAGCCUGACGGAGCAACGCCGCGUGAGUGAUGAAGGUCUUCGGAUCGUAAAACUCUGUUAUUAGGGAAGAACAUAUGUGUAAGUAACUGUGCACAUCUUGACGGUACCUAAUCAGAAAGCCACGGCUAACUACGUGCCAGCAGCCGCGGUAAUACGUAGGUGGCAAGCGUUAUCCGGAAUUAUUGGGCGUAAAGCGCGCGUAGGCGGUUUUUUAAGUCUGAUGUGAAAGCCCACGGCUCAACCGUGGAGGGUCAUUGGAAACUGGAAAACUUGAGUGCAGAAGAGGAAAGUGGAAUUCCAUGUGUAGCGGUGAAAUGCGCAGAGAUAUGGAGGAACACCAGUGGCGAAGGCGACUUUCUGGUCUGUAACUGACGCUGAUGUGCGAAAGCGUGGGGAUCAAACAGGAUUAGAUACCCUGGUAGUCCACGCCGUAAACGAUGAGUGCUAAGUGUUAGGGGGUUUCCGCCCCUUAGUGCUGCAGCUAACGCAUUAAGCACUCCGCCUGGGGAGUACGACCGCAAGGUUGAAACUCAAAGGAAUUGACGGGGACCCGCACAAGCGGUGGAGCAUGUGGUUUAAUUCGAAGCAACGCGAAGAACCUUACCAAACCUUGACAUCCUUUGACAACUCUAGAGAUAGAGCCUUCCCCUUCGGGGGACAAAGUGACAGGUGGUGCAUGGUUGUCGUCAGCUCGUGUCGUGAGAUGUUGGGUUAAGUCCCGCAACGAGCGCAACCCUUAAGCUUAGUUGCCAUCAUUAAGUUGGGCACUCUAAGUUGACUGCCGGUGACAAACCGGAGGAAGGUGGGGAUGACGUCAAAUCAUCAUGCCCCUUAUGAUUUGGGCUACACACGUGCUACAAUGGACAAUACAAAGGGCAGCGAAACCGCGAGGUCAAGCAAAUCCCAUAAAGUUGUUCUCAGUUCGGAUUGUAGUCUGCAACUCGACUACAUGAAGCUGGAAUCGCUAGUAAUCGUAGAUCAGCAUGCUACGGUGAAUACGUUCCCGGGUCU
rnacentral:rRNA from 1 species